rnacentral:rRNA from 1 species
AUGGAGGGGGAUAACUACUGGAAACGGUAGCUAAUACCGCAUAAUGUCGCAAGACCAAAGAGGGGGACCUUCGGGCCUCUUGCCAUCGGAUGUGCCCAGAUGGGAUUAGCUUGUUGGUGAGGUAAAGGCUCACCAAGGCGACGAUCCCUAGCUGGUCUGAGAGGAUGACCAGCCACACUGGAACUGAGACACGGUCCAGACUCCUACGGGAGGCAGCAGUGGGGAAUAUUGCACAAUGGGCGCAAGCCUGAUGCAGCCAUGCCGCGUGUGUGAAGAAGGCCUUCGGGUUGUAAAGCACUUUCAGCGGGGAGGAAGGCGGUGAGUUUAAUAAGCUCACCGAUUGACGUUACCCGCAGAAGAAGCACCGGCUAACUCCGUGCCAGCAGCCGCGGUAAUACGGAGGGUGCAAGCGUUAAUCGGAAUUACUGGGCGUAAAGCGCACGCAGGCGGGCUGUCAAGUCGGAUGUGAAAUCCCCGGGCUCAACCUGGGAACUGCAUUCGAAACUGGCAGGCUAGAGUCUUGUAG